rnacentral:rRNA from 1 species
UGAGUAACCUGCCCUUAACUCUGGGAUAAGCCUGGGAAACUGGGUCUAAUACCGGAUAUGACUCCUCAUCGCAUGGUGGGGGGUGGAAAGCUUUUUGUGGUUUUGGAUGGACUCGCGGCCUAUCAGCUUGUUGGUGAGGUAAUGGCUAACCAAGGCGACGACGGGUAGCCGGCCUGAGAGGGUGACCGGCCACACUGGGACUGAGACACGGCCCAGACUCCUACGGGANACAG